rnacentral:rRNA from 1 species
UACAGAGGGUGCUAGCGUUGUUCGGAAUUAUUGGGCGUAAAGGGCGCGUAGGCGGCCCUGUGUGUCGGGUGUGAAAGCCCACCUCUUAAAGGUGGAAUUGCAUUCGAAACUACAGGGCUGGAGUGUCGGAGAGGAUGGCGGAAUUCCUGGUGUAGAGGUGAAAUUCGUAGAUAUCGGGAGGAACACCAGUGGCGAAGGCGGCGAUCUGGGAAGAUACUGACGCUGAGGUGCGAAAGCGUGGGGAGCAAACAGG